AAACCAACCGGGAUUGCCUUAGUAACGGCGAGUGAAGCGGCAAAAGCUCAAAUUUGAAAUCUGGUACCUUCGGUGCCCGAGUUGUAAUUUGUAGAAGGUAACUUUGGGGCUGGUCCUUGUCUAUGUUCCUUGGAACAGGACGUCAUAGAGGGUGAGAAUCCCGUGUGGCGAGGAUCCCAGUUCUUUGUAAAGUGCUUUCGAAGAGUCGAGUUGUUUGGGAAUGCAGCUCUAAGUGGGUGGUAAAUUCCAUCUAAAGCUAAAUAUUGGCGAGAGACCGAUAGCGAACAAGUACAGUGAUGGAAAGAUGAAAAGAACUUUGAAAAGAGAGUGAAAAAGUACGUGAAAUUGUUGAAAGGGAAGGGCAUUUGAUCAGACAUGGUGUUUUGCGCCCUCUGCUCCUUGUGGGUGGGGGAAUCUCGCAGCUCACUGGGCCAGCAUCAGUUUUGGCGGCAGGAUAAAUCUGCAGGAAUGUAGCUUGCCUCGGUAAGUGUGAUAUCCUGUAGAAAUACUGCCAGCUGGGAUCUGAGGACUGCGACUUUACGUCCAAGAUGCUGCAUAAUGUACCGU
rnacentral:rRNA from 1 species